rnacentral:rRNA from 1 species
CCUACGGGAGGCAGCAGUGAGGAAUAUUGGUCAAUGGACGAGAGUCUGAACCCGCCAAGUAGCGUGAAGGAUGACUGCCCUAUGGGUUGUAAACUUCUUUUAUAUGGGAAUAAAAUGUUCCACGUGUGGGAUUUUGUAUGUACCAUAUGAAUAAGGAUCGGCUAACUCCGUGCCAGCAGCUGCGGUAAUACGGAGGAUCCGAGCGUUAUCCGGAUUUAUUGGGUUUAAAGGGAGCGUAGGUGGAUUGUUAAGUCAGUUGUGAAAGUUUGCGGCUCAACCGUAAAAUCGCAGUUGAAACUGGCAGGCUUGAGUACAGUAGAGGUGGGCGGAAUUCGUGGUGUAGCGGUGAAAUGCUUAGAUAUCACGAAGAACUCCGAUUGCGAAGGCAGCUCACUAGACUGCAACUGACACUGAGGCUCGAAAGUGUGGGUAUCAAACAGGAUUAGAUACCCUUGUAGUC